AUUCGAUUGAAGUUUUUAAAACAAAGCUUCACCUCGACCGGUCUCUGAACAAGCACGCUUCGUUUGCGUCAUUUUUGUUUCGAGCGACCAGACGUCUGCUGCAGCGCAGUCGUACGUCAUCCUUUAGUGUCCUCAUGACGUCUAAUUCUAUGUACUGUUGUUUGUCAUGUCCAGGAUCGACUGAUAGCUGGACUUCGUGCACCUCAGGGAAAAUGAGUCUCUCCCAAAUGGACUGUCUGUGCCCAAAAAGGGCACACGUUGCUUCUGUGUCACAUGUACAUGCACGCGAGCUACUUUUUUCUUGAUUUCACUCAAAAGGGAUACAAAGGAUGUCGUUUUUCAUGCAGUAGUAAUUGUUCUAUUGGCCACGUUGUCGACAAAAGGUGUGCUGUUAACAGCCUGCUGUGUGGAGAAACUCGGGGAGAUCUGUCUUUGGAAAUCAGGUUCAACUACAGUACAUGGAUCGCCUUAGUCCAAACACAAGAUGAGCAAGCCCCAGUCUGUAUUCUUCGGUCAUUUAAUGAAUAUAUACUGUAUCCAUUUUUGAUUUAAACUUAUUGGCCCCUUCUUUGGUCCACAUGCACAAUAUUGUAAUCUGACUCACAAACUAAUGCAUGCAUAUUUAAAAAAAAUGGACAUCGCAAAGAUAAUGUUAGUUUGGCAAUGUCAACAAGCUGGAAAUGUAACUUCUUUACACCUAUUGUGUUAUUGUAUUGUAUCUCAGGCUGUACAUGUACCUAAUAAAAGUAGUGUUUUUAAUCCAAUGAUUUUGUAUUUUUUAAUAAAUAAAGGUUCUCAGCAAUAAAUAAAGUGAAAAGACCGACUCUAUAUAUUACACCACCUAUGCUACGAGUUUGACCUACUUUUAGCAAGUCUAAAAUCCAGUUGACUUUUAACCAAAUUUGCAAAUGCACAUUUGACAUUCGACCAAAAUAAGGCCCAUUGACUGAAUGGGAUUCACGUUAUGUAACCCCAAUAUCUGCGUUGCUACUUUU